AAAUUUAGGUUAAUGAUAAACCAAGGACCUUCAAAGCCCUGAAUAGGUAAGCACAUCCUAAUUUCUG
rnacentral:tRNA from 1 species